rnacentral:rRNA from 1 species
CAGCCGCCGCGGUAAUACAGAGGGUGCGAGCGUUAAUCGGAUUUACUGGGCGUAAAGCGUGCGUAGGCGGCUUUUUAAGUCGGAUGUGAAAUCCCCGGGCUCAACCUGGGAACUGCAUCCAAAACUGGCGAGCUAGAGUAUGGUAGAGGGUGGUGGAAUUUCCUGUGUAGCGGUGAAAUGCGUAGAUAUAGGAAGGAACAUCAGUGGCGAAGGCGACCACCUGGACUGAUACUGACACUGAGGUGCGAAAGCGUGGGGAGCAAACAGGAUUAGAUACCCGUGUAGUCCCUGUCUCUUAUAC